rnacentral:sRNA from 1 species
GAAGAAGACGGAGAAUGAAGAAGGGACGC